UACGCAGGGAGCUAGCGUUGUUCGGAAUCACUGGGCGUAAAGCGCACGUAGGCGGAUGUGUCAGUCAGGGGUGAAAUCCCGGAGCUCAACUUCGGAACUGCCUUUGAUACAGCACGUCUUGAGUCCGAUAGAGGUGGGUGGAAUUCCUAGUGUAGAGGUGAAAUUCGUAGAUAUUCGCAAGAACACCAGUGGCGAAGGCGGCCGACUGGUCCGGUUCUGACGCUGAGGCGCGAAAGCGUGGGGAGCAAACAGG
rnacentral:rRNA from 1 species